CAUCAUUUGUCCUGGGGUACAAAGAUAACCCUGUGAAAUUCCUGGAAAGUGACGCCCGUUGAUAGAGAAUUUUGGGCCGCAGACAGUAGCACGUCCAUUUAUGUAACGCUGUGGAGCGUCUCACUGAAAGACGGAUAUAAAGGAAGAGUGAUGGACCACUUUGGUGUAUUGUAGUGGUGAAACUAAAGCAGUGAUGGCCUUGCUGUGAUAUCCUGUGCAUGCUUUCACCAUCACAAGACAAGCGAGACAAAUGAGGUAUCGUCUUUCUGUCGGGUCAAACGUUUGGUGGCCUGCCCAGUUCUGCUGUUUACGUGCCCCUGUCAUAGUGUAAAUUAUCUAUGAGGUUAAAUUUUAUAAAACACACUUGCCAUUUUUAUUCUUAUCUAGUUGAUCUUAUAGAAACCACUCAUUGGGAAAGAAGUGUUUGUAUCAAGGCUAUUAUUGUAGCUCAGUGUUUGCCAACAGUCAAGUAUGGUUUCAACCAAUGCAUUGGACGUUUUUAUUGUGCAUACAUUCAUCUCAUCUACAACCGAACCCUCAGAGACUCCUAAUCUCCCGGGAAGAAUCUCCUAAAAACGAUUAGUCGAUUGGGAUUGACAGUACGAGAGAGGACACAAGCAGCCCGCUGUCUGGGAAUCAUAAUGAAUCAGGAGGAGUUUUCCAGAGAGUUUUCAAUGGCUUCGUCUCAUGAGCUCACCAACAAAAACUGAAGAGCCAAAAAUACACCAUCCAUCAAAAUACUGAUAGACCAGAGACUCAGUAGAUGCACUUCUGUACCCUUCACACAUGUGCCAUGACUCCACCAACACGUGUUAGGAAUGACUGGACUCCGAGGUCAGUCCCUCAGGAUUUGUGGUUGAAGAGUGAAGGCUAGGUCUCUGGGUUGGGCGUAGCCAGAAGAGGA